AUGAACGCUGGCGGCGUGCUUAACACAUGCAAGUCGAACGAUUAAGACGGCUUCGGCCGUGUAUAGAGUGGCGAACGGGUGAGUAACACGUGACCAACCUGCCCCGCGCUCCGGGACAACCGCUGGAAACGGCGGCUAAUACCGGAUGCUCCGGGGAGGCCCCAUGGCCUCCCCGGGAAAGCCUUAACGGCGCGGGAUGGGGUCGCGGCCCAUUAGGUAGACGGCGGGGUAACGGCCCACCGUGCCCGCGAUGGGUAGCCGGACUGAGAGGUCGACCGGCCACAUUGGGACUGAGAUACGGCCCAGACUCCUACGGGAGGCAGCAGUGGGGAAUUUUGCGCAAUGGGGGGAACCCUGACGCAGCAACGCCGCGUGCGGGACGAAGGCCUUCGGGUUGUAAACCGCUUUCAGCAGGGAAGACUUUGACGGUACCUGCAGAAGAAGCUCCGGCUAACUACGUGCCAGCAGCCGCGGUAAUACGUAGGGGGCGAGCGUUAUCCGGAUUCAUUGGGCGUAAAGCGCGCGUAGGCGGCCGCCUAAGCGGAACCUCUAAUCCCGGGGCUCAACCUCGGGCCGGGUUCCGGACUGGGCGGCUCGAGUGCGGUAGAGGCAGGCGGAAUUCCCGGUGUAGCGGUGGAAUGCGCAGAUAUCGGGAAGAACACCGAUGGCGAAGGCAGCCUGCUGGGCCGCCACUGACGCUGAGGCGCGAAAGCUGGGGGAGCGAACAGGAUUAGAUACCCUGGUAGUCCCAGCCGUAAACGAUGGACGCUAGGUGUGGGGGGACCAUCCCCCCGUGCCGCAGCCAACGCAUUAAGCGUCCCGCCUGGGGAGUACGGCCGCAAGGCUAAAACUCAAAGGAAUUGACGGGGGCCCGCACAAGCAGCGGAGCAUGUGGCUUAAUUCGAAGCAACGCGAAGAACCUUACCAGGUCUUGACAUCCGAUGCAUAACACAGAGAUGUGUGAAAUCCUUCGGGACAUCGAGACAGGUGGUGCAUGGUUGUCGUCAGCUCGUGUCGUGAGAUGUUGGGUUAAGUCCCGCAACGAGCGCAACCCCCGUCCCGUGUUGCCAGCAUUGAGUUGGGGACUCGCGGGAGACUGCCGGCGUCAAGCCGGAGGAAGGUGGGGACGACGUCAAGUCAUCAUGCCCCUUAUGCCCUGGGCUGCACACGUGCUACAAUGGCCGGUACAGAGGGUUGCCACCCCGCGAGGGGGAGCGGAUCCCGGAAAGCCGGUCCCAGUUCGGAUCGCAGGCUGCAACCCGCCUGCGUGAAGUCGGAGUUGCUAGUAAUCGCGGAUCAGCAUGCCGCGGUGAAUACGUUCCCGGGCCUUGUACACACCGCCCGUCACACCACCCGAGUCGUCUGCACCCGAAGCCGCCGGCCGAACCCUUCUGGGGCGGAGGCGUCGAAGGUGUGGAGGGUAAGGGGGGUG
rnacentral:rRNA from 1 species